GAGCAAAGGGGCCGGAUAAAGUGCCGAUCUUUGCAUUGAAGGUUGGCGGCAGCGAUUGCAGUUCUCCGUGCCGCUCAGAUUUUCCUAUGUUUUGUGACGGCCUCGAACAAGCUGCUACAUC
rnacentral:snoRNA from 1 species